GAUGAACGCUGGCGGCGUGCCUAAUACAUGCAAGUCGAGCGAACAGACGAGGGGCUUGCUCCUCUGACGUUAGCGGCGGACGGGUGAGUAACACGUGGAUAACCUACCUAUAAGACUGGGAUAACUUCGGGAAACCGGAGCUAAUACCGGAUAAUAUAUUGAACCGCAUGGUUCAAUAGUGAAAGACGGUUUUGCUGUCACUUAUAGAUGGAUCCGCGCCGCAUUAGCUAGUUGGUAAGGUAACGGCUUACCAAGGCAACGAUGCGUAGACGACCUGAGAGGGUGAUCGGCCACACUGGAACUGAGACACGGUCCAGACUCCUACGGGAGGCAGCAGUAGGGAAUCUUCCGCAAUGGGCGAAAGCUUGACGGAGCAACGCCGCGUGAGUGAUGAAGGUCUUCGGAUCGUAAAACUCUUUUAUUAGGGAAGAACAAAUGUGUAAGUAACUAUGCACGUCUUGACGGUACCUAAUCAGAAAGCCACGGCUAACUACGUG
rnacentral:rRNA from 1 species